rnacentral:rRNA from 1 species
CUAAUACAUGCAAGUCGAGCGCGGGAAGCAGGUGUCAGUCUUCGGACGGACGUCUGUGGAACGAGCGGCGGAUGGGUGAGUAACACGUGGGUAACCUGCCUGUAAGCUUGGGAUAACUCGCGGAAACGUGAGCUAAUACCGAAUGAUCCUGACGUUCGCAUGAACGUUAGGUAAAAGGCGGCUUUUGCUGUCACUUACAGAUGGACCCGCGGCGCAUUAGCUAGUUGGUGGGGUAACGGCUCACCAAAGCGACGAUGCGUAGCCGACCUGAGAGGGUGAUCGGCCACACUGGGACUGAGACACGGCCCAGACUCCUACGGGAGGCAGCAGUAGGGAAUCUUCCGCAAUGGACGAAAGUCUGACGGAGCGACGCCGCGUGAGUGAUGAAGGUCUUCGGAUCGUAAAACUCUGUUGUUAGGGAAGAAUAAGUACGGACCGAAAAGGUCAGUACCUUGACGGUACCUAACCAGAAAGCCCCGGCUAACUACGUGCCAGCAGCCGCGGUAAUACGUAGGGGGCAAGCGUUGUCCGGAAUUAUUGGGCGUAAAGGGCGCGCAGGCGGUCUUCUAAGUCUGAUGUGAAAGCCCACGGCUUAACCGUGGAAGGUCAUUGGAAACUGGGGGACUUGAGUGCAGAAGAGGAGAGUGGAAUUCCAUGUGUAGCGGUGAAAUGCGUAGAGAUAUGGAGGAACACCAGUGGCGAAGGCGA